rnacentral:miRNA from 1 species
UAGUCGGAUUUAUAUCAAUC